UGCUUUCUCUUUCUCUCUAGGCCAUGGUGUCUCUUCACAGCAAUAGAACACUGACUAAGACAGAUCCUUUGGAGAGACUUGAAGGGUGUAAGGUCAGCGGCCAGCAUCCUGGGAACCCUCAAGUAUACUGACCUGGGCCCCCGGGUCUGGACAAAAGCAUGAAUGGAAGUCAGUGUAACCCCUACCAAUCUUCUAGGGUGAGGAGGCUUUUCAGAUCCAGCGAUGAAAUGAGUGCCCCACCACCACCACCACCACCAAAGAUGUACAAGAGACUUAGAAUUAGACCCUUGACAGCCUUUCAGGUCUCGGCCUGACGCUGGUAAAGGUGUGAUCGGCAGGGGGCGCGCGCGGACAGGCGUCUGAACCACAACUAUCGGAUUUGUUGUUGCCCCCUCAACAUGCGCGCGCGCAUACACACACACACACACACACAAUCUUGAGAGAAAAAAAAAAUGCUAAGAGUUUCGGGGCAGAGAGAAGAAAGGCGAUUGCGGUUUCUGACUCAUUCUGCCUCACAGCUGGUCCGCAUGCCUCUUAUUGAUGUGAGCGCACCUGGGGAAGCAUCCGCCUAGAGGCACUCAGUGACCCGACCUUCUUGAAUUUGACGACUGCUGAUGCACCCCCAGGUAACAGUGCGUCACUGAGGGAAGUCAGGACGAGAACUCAAGAAGACCGAGAACCUGGAGGCAAGAAGUGAAGCAGAAGCUAUUGGGGAAUGCUGCCUGCUCCUGUGGCUUGAUCGGCUUGCUCUCUUAUAGCAUCCAUUGGUGGCGCCUCCCAUAGCGACCUGAGCCUUUUCACAUAAGCACCAAUCAUGAAAAUGCCCUGCAGACCUAUCUAGUGAAGGCAUUUUCUUGAUUGAGAGUCCCUCAUCCCAAAUAACUAGCAUGUCAGGUUGACAUAAAACUUACCAGGACAUCCAACAACCUGAGUUCAAUCCCUGAACCCCCAUGGCAGAAAGAGAAAAGACUCCACAGAGAUGUCCUCUGACCUUCAUAUGAGUGCCAUGACAUGUGCACACCCCUCCAAGUAAAUGAUCAACACGUAUC